CCUCCACUCCUCCACCCUAUAAUCCUUUUAUCACCUCCCCUCCUCACACCGGGUCCGGCUUACAGUUUCUUUCCGUGACUAGCCCUCCCCCACCUGCCCAGCAAUUUCCUUUUUAAAAAGUGGCUGCAGCCAAAGGCAUAGUCAAGGUUAAUGCUCCUUUUUCUUUAUCCGACCUCUCCCAAAUCAGUUAGCGUUUAGGCUCUUUCAUCAAAUAUAAAAACCCAGCCCAGUUCACGGCUCAUUUGGCAGCAGCCCUGAGACGCUUUACAGCCCUAGACCCUGAAAGGUCAAAAGGCCGUCUUAUUCUCAAUAUACAUUUUAUUACCCAAUCUGCUCCCAACAUUAAAUAAAACUCCAAAAAUUAAAUUCCGGCCCUCAAACCCCACAACAGGACUUAAUUAACCUCACCUUCAAGGUGUACAAUAAUAGAGUAGAGGCAGCCAAGUAGCAACAUAUUUCUGAGUUGCAAUUCCUUGCCUCCACCGUGAGACAAACCCCAGCCACAUCUCCAGCACACAACUUCCAAACGCCUAAACCGCAGCGGCCAGGCGUUCCUCCAGAAACGCCUUCCCCAGGAGCUUGCUACAAGUGCCAGAAGUCUGGCCACCAGGCCAAGGAAUGCCCGCAGCCCGGGAUUCCUCCUAAGCCAUGUCCCAUCUGUGCGGGACCCCACUGGAAAUCGGACUGUUCAACUCACCUGGCAGCCACUCCCAGAGCCCCUGGAACUCUGGCCCAAGGCUCUCAGACUGAGUCCUUCCCAGAUCUUCUCGGCUUAGAGACUGAAGACUGACGCUGCCCAAUCUCCUCGGAAGCCCCGUAGACCAUCACAGACGCCGAGCUUUAUUAAUAUAAGAAGACAGGAAUGUCAGGCCUCUGAGCCCAAGCUAAGCCAUCAUAUCCCCUGUGACCUGCAGGUACACAUCCAGAUGGCCAGUUCCUGCCUUAACUGAUGACAUUCCACCACAUAAGAAGUGAAAAUGGCCUGUUCCUGCCUUAACUGAUGACAUUAUCUUGUGAAAUUCCUUCUGGCCCAUCCUGGCUCAAAAGCUCCCCUACUGAGCACCUUGUGACCCCCACUCCUGCCCGCCAGAGAACAAAUCCCCUUUGACUGUAAUUUUCCUUUACCCAAAUCCUAUAAAUUGGCCCCAUCCCUAUCUCCCUUCCCUGACUCUCUUUUCGGACUCAGCCCACCUGCACCCAGGUGAAAUAAACAGCCUUGUUGCUCACACAAAGCCUGUUUGGUGGUCUCUUCACAUGGACGUGCAUGAAACUGCUGGCACCUUAUUUUGAACUUUCUAGUCUCCAGACUGUGAGAAAUAAAUGUGUGUUAUUUAGGCCCCCCAGUCUAUGGUAUUUUGUUUUAGCAACCUGAGGUAUCACUGAUAAUUUUAUAGAAAAUACAUUUACGAAAAACUAUUUUUAUCUAAAAAGCAGAGUAGAGAGGGAGUGAUAACAGAUAACUAAGAAGAUUGCGUAAAUGGUGGAGUUGAUAAUCCUAUAAUAAACCAUUGGAUUGAUAAACUGCUGCUAUGAUCAAGAAGCAUGAUUCUGCACUCUGAACAUGAAGACACUGAGAAUAUGUGAGAGGCUGAGAAAGAACAGAUGCCACAGAGACAAUGGGAAGACAAAGAAAUUUUGGAUACACAACAGUUUCCCUAGUGAAGUCAUUUCUCAUAGUGUUUUGCACAACUUUGCUUCUCCGCUCUAGGACAGAAUCAACCCAAGUGUUUUAUAGCCCAGCUGGCUGGGUGAGGGCAGGCAGACUCAGACAGCCAAGGACUUCUCAACAUUUGAUUUGUGGCUGUAAGUCUAGCUCGGUCCUGAGAUUAAGUGUGAGGAUCCAAAAAGAUGCAAUCUCAAGAAAAAAAAGAGACAGAUUUAAAGGUUUUUUCAUCACUUGCUAUUCUGAUUUAAAAUUUCAUACUUUAUCCAAAAGUAAUUUUGUUUCCAGAAGUUUGAAGCAAAUUUGAAUGAAAAUUACUCUUUUUAAAUGUUCCUCGGUUCCAUUCACUCUCUUUAGUUAUGUAGCUGAAUAUUUGUUUUGUAAUCAUUUAUCACUUUAAUAGGAAAGGCCUGAAGGGGAAAAAAGGAGUGCUUGUUAGGAUAUAUUUUAUUUAUUGUAAGAGGUUCUAGCCCCUCGGUCCCAGAAAUUGUCUCUUUAGCUCAUUCUCCUAAGUCAUACUUAAUUUACUUCAGAAGCAAUGCAUAUUUUGUGUCACAUAGUCUAUUUAGCAGAGUUGGGUUUUUUAUUACCGAAACUAUUUAUUCUGUGAUAUAUACUCGUGCACAAAAUUUGAAGGACUCCUCUUAUUGUAUAGUGUUCUCUAUUCCAUCUGUCAUUCAUAAUAAAUUUCUUAAAAAUCAAAUACAAUUUAGAUGUUUAUUUUUUAAAGAAUUAUUAUUUUAUAUCCAAAUAAAGAUAAAUAUAAA
rnacentral:lncRNA from 1 species